GGUUAAGCGACUAAGCGUACACGGUGGAUGCCCUGGCAGUCAGAGGCGAUGAAGGACGUGCUAAUCUGCGAAAAGCGUCGGUAAGGUGAUAUGAACCGUUAUAGCCGGCGAUGUCCGAAUGGGGAAACCCAGUGUGAUUCGUCACACUAUCGUUAACUGAAUACAUAGGUUAACGAGGCGAACCGGGGGAACUGAAACAUCUAAGUACCCCGAGGAAAAGAAAUCAACCGAGAUUCCCCCAGUAGCGGCGAGCGAACGGGGAGCAGCCCAGAGUCUGAAUCAGCUUGUGUGUUAGUGGAACGGUCUGGAAAGUCCGACGGUACAGGGUGAUAGUCCCGUACACCAAAAUGCACAGGCUGUGAACUCGAAGAGUAGGGCGGGACACGUGGUAUCCUGUCUGAAUAUGGGGGGACCAUCCUCCAAGGCUAAAUACUCCUGACUGACCGAUAGUGAACCAGUACCGUGAGGGAAAGGCGAAAAGAACCCCGGCGAGGGGAGUGAAAAAGAACCUGAAACCGUGUACGUACAAGCAGUGGGAGCACCUUCGGGUGUGACUGCGUACCUUUUGUAUAAUGGGUCAGCGACUUAUAUUCUGUAGCAAGGUUAACCGUAUAGGGGAGCCGCAGGGAAACCGAGUCUUAACUGGGCGUUAAGUUGCAGGGUAUAGACCCGAAACCCGGUGAUCUAGCCAUGGGCAGGUUGAAGGUUGGGUAACACUAACUGGAGGACCGAACCGACUAAUGUUGAAAAAUUAGCGGAUGACUUGUGGCUGGGGGUGAAAGGCCAAUCAAACUGGGAGAUAGCUGGUUCUCCCCGAAAGCUAUUUAGGUAGCGCCUCGUGAAUUCAUCUUCGGGGGUAGAGCACUGUUUCGGCUAGGGGGUCAUCCCGACUUACCAACCCGAUGCAAACUACGAAUACCGAAGAAUGUUAUCACGGGAGACACACGGCGGGUGCUAACGUCCGUCGUGAAGAGGGAAACAACCCAGACCGCCAGCUAAGGUCCCAAAGUCAUGGUUAAGUGGGAAACGAUGUGGGAAGGCACAGACAGCCAGGAUGUUGGCUUAGAAGCAGCCAUCAUUUAAAGAAAGCGUAAUAGCUCACUGGUCGAGUCGGCCUGCGCGGAAGAUGUAACGGGGCUAAACCAUGCACCGAAGCUGCGGCAGCGACACUAUGUGUUGUUGGGUAGGGGAGCGUUCUGUAAGCCUGCGAAGGUGUGCUGUGAGGCAUGCUGGAGGUAUCAGAAGUGCGAAUGCUGACAUAAGUAACGAUAAAGCGGGUGAAAAGCCCGCUCGCCGGAAGACCAAGGGUUCCUGUCCAACGUUAAUCGGGGCAGGGUGAGUCGACCCCUAAGGCGAGGCCGAAAGGCGUAGUCGAUGGGAAACAGGUUAAUAUUCCUGUACUUGGUGUUACUGCGAAGGGGGGACGGAGAAGGCUAUGUUAGCCGGGCGACGGUUGUCCCGGUUUAAGCAUGUAGGCUGGUUGUCCAGGCAAAUCCGGAUAAUCAAGGCUGAGGUGUGAUGACGAGGCACUACGGUGCUGAAGUAACAAAUGCCCUGCUUCCAGGAAAAGCCUCUAAGCAUCAGGUAACAUCAAAUCGUACCCCAAACCGACACAGGUGGUCAGGUAGAGAAUACCAAGGCGCUUGAGAGAACUCGGGUGAAGGAACUAGGCAAAAUGGUGCCGUAACUUCGGGAGAAGGCACGCUGGUGUGUAGGUGAAGUCCCUGCGGAUGGAGCUGAGACCAGUCGAAGAUACCAGCUGGCUGCAACUGUUUAUUAAAAACACAGCACUGUGCAAACACGAAAGUGGACGUAUACGGUGUGACGCCUGCCCGGUGCCGGAAGGUUAAUUGAUGGGGUUAUCCGUAAGGAGAAGCUCUUGAUCGAAGCCCCGGUAAACGGCGGCCGUAACUAUAACGGUCCUAAGGUAGCGAAAUUCCUUGUCGGGUAAGUUCCGACCUGCACGAAUGGCGUAAUGAUGGCCAGGCUGUCUCCACCCGAGACUCAGUGAAAUUGAACUCGCUGUGAAGAUGCAGUGUACCCGCGGCAAGACGGAAAGACCCCGUGAACCUUUACUAUAGCUUGACACUGAACAUUGAGCCUUGAUGUGUAGGAUAGGUGGGAGGCUUUGAAGCGUGGACGCCAGUCUGCGUGGAGCCAACCUUGAAAUACCACCCUUUAAUGUUUGAUGUUCUAACGUUGGCCCCUUACCGGGGUUGCGGACAGUGUCUGGUGGGUAGUUUGACUGGGGCGGUCUCCUCCCAAAGCGUAACGGAGGAGCACGAAGGUUAGCUAAUCCUGGUCGGACAUCAGGAGGUUAGUGCAAUGGCAUAAGCUAGCUUGACUGCGAGCGUGACGGCGCGAGCAGGUGCGAAAGCAGGUCAUAGUGAUCCGGUGGUUCUGAAUGGAAGGGCCAUCGCUCAACGGAUAAAAGGUACUCCGGGGAUAACAGGCUGAUACCGCCCAAGAGUUCAUAUCGACGGCGGUGUUUGGCACCUCGAUGUCGGCUCAUCACAUCCUGGGGCUGAAGUAGGUCCCAAGGGUAUGGCUGUUCGCCAUUUAAAGUGGUACGCGAGCUGGGUUUAGAACGUCGUGAGACAGUUCGGUCCCUAUCUGCCGUGGGCGCUGGAGAAUUGAGGGGGGCUGCUCCUAGUACGAGAGGACCGGAGUGGACGCAUCACUGGUGUUCGGGUUGUCAUGCCAAUGGCACUGCCCGGUAGCUAAAUGCGGAAGAGAUAAGUGCUGAAAGCAUCUAAGCACGAAACUUGCCCCGAGAUGAGUUCUCCCUGAGACUUUAAGUCUCCUGAAGGAACGUUAAAGACGAUGACGUUGAUAGGCCGGGUGUGUAAGCGCAGCGAUGCGUUGAGCUAACCGGUACUAAUGAACCGUGAGGCUUAACCUU
rnacentral:rRNA from 1 species